AUCAGGAAAUCCCAAACCAGGACAAUGCCUGU
rnacentral:piRNA from 1 species